rnacentral:rRNA from 1 species
UACGUAGGGGGGCUAGCGUUGUCCGGAAUCAUUGGGCGUAAAGCGCGCGUAGGCGGCCCGGUAAGUCCGUUGUAAAAGUCAAAGGCUCAACCUUUGAAAGCCGAUGGAUACUGCCGGGCUAGAGUCCGGGAAGAGGCGAGUGGAAUUCCUGGUGUAGCGGUGGAAUGCGCAGAUAUCAGGAGGAACACCGAUAGCGAAGGCAGCUCGCUGGGACGGUACUGACGCUGAGGCGCGAAAGCGUGGGGAGCGAACAGG